CGUUGAAAUACAGGUUCCCGUACGAUCACCGAAAUUAAGCAACGUCUAGUCUGGUCAGUAUCUCGAUGGGUGACCAUUUGGGAAUACCAUGUGUAG